rnacentral:rRNA from 1 species
UUUCCAGACUCCUACGGGAGGCAGCAGUGGGGAAUAUUGCACAAUGGGGGAAACCCUGAUGCAGCGACGCCGCGUGAGUGAAGAAGUCUUUCGGUAUGUAAAGCUCUAUCAGCAGGGAAGAAAAUGACGGUACCUGACUAAGAAGCCCCGGCUAACUACGUGCCAGCAGCCGCGGUAAUACGUAGGGGGCAAGCGUUAUCCGGAUUUACUGGGUGUAAAGGGAGCGUAGACGGCCAGACAAGUCAGAAGUGAAAGCCCAGGGCUCAACCCUGGGACUGCUUUUGAAACUGCCGGGCUGGAGUGCAGGAGAGGUAAGCGGAAUUCCUAGUGUAGCGGUGAAAUGCGUAGAUAUUAGGAGGAACACCAGUGGCGAAGGCGGCUUACUGGACUGUAACUGACGUUGAGGCUCGAAAGCGUGAGGAGCAAACAGGAUUAGAUACCCCUGUA